AUGGUCGACGAGUCGCCGUUCCCGUGCACCCUUCUGAUGCCCUUCUUCUACACGAUCCACCUCUCCACGUCCGAGGAGGUCAAUGCUGGCCUCCAGGGGAGCGACGUGGGCGCCAAGGUCGACGCUCUGAAGCGCUCCAUCGUGCUCCUCCUCAACGGCGACACGGCCCCCCACCUCCUCGCCACCGUCGUCCGCUACGUCCUCCCCUCCAAGGAACACAUCAUCCAGAGGCUCCUCCUCCUCUACCUCGAGGUCGCCCGCGACAAGCGGGACGAAGCCUCCGGCGAGCUCGUCCCGGAGAUGAUCCUCGUCCGCCACUACCUCCGCAGCAACCUCCAGCACCCCAACGAGUAUGUCCGAGGCGUCACACUGCGGUUCCUCUGUCGGCUCCGCGACCCCGAGCUGCUCGAGCCGCUCGUGCCCUCCAUUCUUGCCAACCUCAAGCAUCCGCACCCUUUCGUCCGCCGCCACGCGCUCUCCGCCAUGUCAGCGAUCUGCCGCCUGCCCUGCCCUCAUAUCGAGCAGGAGAAGCUCAUCCCGGACGCGCCGGAUCUCGCGGAGCGUGCCCUCGCCGUAGAGCAUGACCCAGCCGCACGGACGAACGCGUUCCUCGUGCUCUGCGACUGCUCGCAUGACCGCGCCAUUGCCUACUUGCUCGCCAAUGCCGCCCGCGUCACCGAGUGGCCUGCCCCCCUCCAGAUGGCCGCCAUUCAACUCAUUCGCAGAGUCUACUCUGCUGGCAACCACCUUCUCAGGAGCGCGUAUACCAAAAUCAUCAUUUCCCUCCUCUCCGCUGCCACAACUGCCGCUAUCAUGUACGGCUGCGCGUGCACGCUCUCGUCUGUGUCCCAUGCGCCGACCUUGAUCGCAAGAACAUACCUCCAGCUGCUCACUUCCCAGAGCGACAGCAACGUGAAGCUCAUCAUCCUGGACCGCCUGCGCGAGCUGUCCAGCUCACACCAUUAUAUGAUGGUCGGUUUCACCAUGGACCUUCUGCGCUCGCUCGCCGGCAGGCCUGAUCUGGAUGUCAGGAGGAAGGUUCUGGAGUUGGUAGUGCCUGGUUUGCUCACCACACGAAAUGUGGAGGACGUGGUGCACUACCUCAAGGAGGAGGUUUAUGGGGUAAUGGGCAGCGUCUUCCACAUAGCCCGUGAUGAGUACUACCAUAUGCUGAUCCGGGCGAUCCAUGUCUGUGCCGUGCCGUACCCAGAAGUGGUUGGACCGGUGGUGCACCUCCUCUGGGGCCACCUUCGUUACGGCGACGUUGCUUCAGCAUCCGAUGUGGUUCUGUUUCUGCGUGAGAUUAUCGAGGACAAACCUCUGCUUCGUUCCUCCAUUGUAUCUGGGCUGAUCGGUACGUUCUAUAAGAUCAAGGAAUCCUUCAUCUUUUCAUGUGCUCUCUGGAUCCUUGGGGAGUACACGCUUUCGCUAUGUGAGGUCGAGAAAGCCAUUGCAGCCAUUAAGGAGUCACUUGGAGAUCAGCCCUUCUAUGCCGACUCCGAGGAAAUCGAGUCAGUUGAUUCAUCGAAGCCAGCCCAUCCAGCCAUGGACUCUGACACAUACACCACACAUAGUGCCGCCACCGAUGAUUCCAUUUAUACUAGUGGGGUGUUCGAUUACAGGCAGAAUCUCAGAGCUCUCAUUAUGUCAGGAGAUUUUCACUUGGCCGCUGUUGUUGCGUGUACGUUGACCAAGCUUGUGGUGAGGCUGCAGGAGGUUCAGCCAUCUAAGGUUGAAGCAAACAAGGCAUCAGUAGAGGCCUUGCUGAUCAUGGUGUCCAUGCUGUGGCUGGGGAAAUCCUCUUACCUUCCCCACCCUAUCGACAUUGACUCAUAUGACAGGAUUGUGUUUUGUGUUAGGUUGCUUUGCAGUACCGAUGAUGAUCAUUCAAGGAAGGUCUGGUUGCUCUCGUGCCGACAGAGCUUCGCAAAUAUGAUCAUUGCUGAGAAAAAAUUUAGGCAGAAUGAGAAGAUGAAGGUCCAGGCACAGAGUUCCCUUACAUAUCCUGAUGAUUCCAUUGAUUUCUACCACCUGAAGAGCAGGAGGGGACUGGACCGACUUGAGUUGGAAGAUGAGGUCCAAGAUGAUUUAAAGGCUGCAACUGGUGAAUCUAUGAAGGGUGCAGAUGAUACAAAAAAACUGAACGCCCUUGUUCAGUUGAUAGGGUUCAGUGAUCCUGUGUAUGCUGAAGGAUUUGUUACCGUUAAUGAGUAUUAUGAUACUGUGCUUGAUAUUACAGUCAUAAACCGAACAGAAGAAACACUGCACAAUCUGUGGUUGGAGUUUGCCACGGCGAGUAAAACCGCAGUAGUUGAUCGCAGUAAGAAGUACACCGUGGCUCCUCAGGCAAGCAAGCAAAUCCAGGCUAACAUUAAGAUGUCCUCAACGAACGUUGGAGUUAUAGUUAGUCGCAUCUUUUAUGAGACUUCAGAUGCAAUGGAGCCUUCAGAGGUGAUCCUAAAAGAUAUGAGCAUUAGCAUCAUGGAUUACAUGACACCUGCUACAUGUACUGAUGUAGCCUUCCGGAAAAUGUGGGCUGAGUGUUGGUGCAAAGUUAAGUUGAAGGUCAAUACCGAGCAUCAUGAUGGGAGGGAAUUUGUAAAUUUUAUCAUCAAGUCAGUAAAAAUGCCAUGUGUAACACCAUUGUCUGCGCUUGAUGGGGACUGCGGGUUAGUUGCUGCCAAUCUCUACGGCAAGAGUGUGUUUGGCGAGGAUGCUUUGGCGAACAUCAGCGUAGAGAAGCAGGCCGACUCUAGUAAGCUCAGUGGCUACAUCACUAUACGUGGCAAUGUCCAGGGACUGGUUCUUAAUCUGGCGCAUGCAAUUAUCGCUACACAGCAGAUUACAGUUGAUGCAGCCAUGAGCCUGUCAGAAGCGUGUCAUGAGUAUUAA
rnacentral:rRNA from 1 species